CGCGCCGGAAGGGGCGGGGCGCAAGCGGCAAGACUUCCGCGGAGACGGCCACGCCCACCGCGGGCGGCCAGAGGGUUCCCGUGGGCUGCGAAGUGUCUGUUUGCAUAACGUGAUGUUCAUAUUCGUCUCAGUGGAACUAGGAAAUCAGUGGCAAACAUGUUAAAUGAGACAUAUACGCCAGCACUGACCUGGACCAAGCACAUGGCUCAAAGCCUCCUU
rnacentral:lncRNA from 1 species